GAUGGUUCGAUUAGUCUUUCGCCCCUAUACCCAGUUCAUACGAUCGAUUUGCACGUCAGAAUCGCUACGGACCUCCAUCAGGGUUUCCCCUGACUUCAUCCUGACCAGGCAUAGUUCACCAUCUUUCGGGUCCCAGCGUGUACGCUCUUGGUGCGCCGCAACUUGCAAUAAGUAUGCGACGCCCCGGGAAUGCGAGGUAACAUAAAUAACGUUACCCAUCUUCCCUUUAUAAAAUAUAAUUAUAAAAAUUAUAUAUAUAUAUUUACUUUCAUUACGCCUUUAGGUUUAUUAUAAAUACCCAAUGACUUGCGCACAUGCUAG
rnacentral:rRNA from 1 species